GCUGGGCGUGGUGGCGUGUGCCUGUAGUCCCAAUUAUUCAGGAGGCUGAGGUAGGAGGAUCACCUGAGCCUGGGAGGUUGAGGCUGCAGUGAGCCAUGAUCGCACCACUGCACUCUAGCCUGGGCAACAGAGUGAGACCCUGUUUCAA
rnacentral:SRP_RNA from 1 species